CCUACGGUGGGCUGCAGUGGGGAAUAUUGCACAAUGGGGGAAACCCUGAUGCAGCGACGCCGCGUGAGUGAAGAAGUAUUUCGGUAUGUAAAGCUCUAUCAGCAGGAACGAGACAAGACGGUACCUGACUAAGAAGCCCCGGCUAACUACGUGCCAGCAGCCGCGGUAAUACGUAGGGGGCAAGCGUUAUCCGGAUUUACUGGGUGUAAAGGGAGCGUAGACGGUUACGCAAGUCUGGAGUGAAAGGCGGGGGCCCAACCCCCGGACUGCUUUGGAAACUGUAUGACUGGAGUGCAGGAGAGGUAAGUGGAAUUCCUAGUGUAGCGGUGAAAUGCGUAGAUAUUAGGAGGAACACCAGUGGCGAAGGCGGCUUACUGGACUGUAACUGACGUUGAGGCUCGAAAGCGUGGGGAGCAAACAGGAUUAGAUACCCUGGUAGUC
rnacentral:rRNA from 1 species